AUGCACAUUUCAUUGUCGUUUUUCUUUUGCACCAAGAGAAAGAUAUUGAUGAUGUUCUGAACAAACUUUUAACAAAUAAAUAGCACCUUCAGACAAGU
rnacentral:snoRNA from 1 species